CCUACGGGAGGCAGCAGUGGGGAAUAUUGCUCAAUGGGGGAAACCCUGAAGCAGCAACGCCGCGUGGAGGAUGAAGGUUUUAGGAUUGUAAACUCCUUUUGUUAGAGAAGAUUAUGACGGUAUCUAACGAAUAAGCACCGGCUAACUCCGUGCCAGCAGCCGCGGGAAUACGGAGGGUGCAAGCGUUACUCGGAAUCACUGGGCGUAAAGCGUGCGUAGGCGGGGUAAUAAGUCAGAUGUGAAAUCCUGUAGCUUAACUACAGAACUGCAUUUGAAACUGUUACUCUGGAGUGUGGGAGAGGUAGGUGGAAUUCUUGGUGUAGGGGUAAAAUCCGUAGAGAUCAAGAAGAAUACUCAUUGCGAAGGCGACCUGCUGGAACAUUACUGACGCUGAUGCACGAAAGCGUGGGGAGCAAACAGGAUUAGAUACCCUGGUAGUC
rnacentral:rRNA from 1 species